AUGCCGAGAAUCCAAAGCUCUCCCGACUGCCAUCUGAUCAGGGCUUUUGUAGCCCAUCCAAUCAUGGGGUACACCUGUUUCCAAUCACCUGUUGUAAUGACAGAGACAGAACAGGCAUGCAAAUAUCAUGGGGCGGGGCCUAGACCCGCCAGGGUCGUAACAGUAGUUUCUAAGCAGAAAACAGCAAAGAUGAAUGAACAGCAAUCACAACAGAAUUCCACAUUAGGCCUCCAUCACCUGGACAGGCCUACACUGAUGUGUAUCUGUCAUAGGGUGCAGAUGGUUAAGGUAUUUUUCAAGGGCAUUGGAUAUGCCGAGAGGUAUCUUGAAGAGAUCAAGGCCUAUCUCCAAAGACGACUUUGUGUGACUCAGGUCGGAGAUGUACGGGAAUGUGAUGUCAUCUUGGUCCUCUGCCCAAUCGUCUCUCGAGCUGGAACUGAUGUUGAGGCUGCACUGAGUGCGAUUCCAAGCCCAAAGCCUACAAUUCUCAUGGUGUUUCAUCGCACAUUCGACCCGGAAGACAUAAUACCCAACACCCAGAAGUAUGUCGAAGGGAGGGGAAUAACGGUGGACCUGCUUUUCAAUGAGGAAGGAGGACUACUUUCUUGCAGAAGAAAUGAGGACUCGAAGAGAUUGGCUGCAGAUUACCUCAAUAAGCAUGAAGCACUUAGCCCUAUAUACAGUAAUAGGUUUUUAAAUGCCAUACUUUCGCAAAAAGGGCUUAUUGGGUGUAUUGCAUUUGCAGGUGUAGUCAUUGUUUGUUUUGCCAUUGUCAGGAAAAAAGAUAAAAUAAUGUUAGCUAACUCAGUCAAUCUUCCUAGGCUAUUUACAUGGACUACACUGAAAAUCAGGGUUGGAAAAUCUACUGAAAUCUGA
rnacentral:lncRNA from 1 species